UACGUAGGGACCAAGCGUUGUUCGGAUUUACUGGGCGUAAAGCGCGCGUAGGCGGCGUGGUAAGUCACUUGUGAAAUCUCUGAGCUUAACUCAGAACGGCCAAGUGAUACUGCUGUGCUAGAGUGCAGAAGGGGCAAUCGGAAUUCUUGGUGUAGCGGUGAAAUGCGUAGAUAUCAAGAGGAACACCUGAGGUGAAGACGGGUUGCUGGGCUGACACUGACGCUGAGGCACGAAAGCCAGGGGAGCAAACGGG
rnacentral:rRNA from 1 species